AAUUACAAGCGAAAGCAUAAAAUUCAAAGGACUUGACGGUACUUCACAUCAACCUAGAGGAGCCUGUCCUAUAAUCGAUAACCCACGUUUUACCUCACCUACUCUUGCAAAAUCAGCCUGUAUACCGCCGUCGCCAGCCCAUCUAAUGAUAGAAUAAAAAUGGACAAAACUGUAUAACUACAAAAACGUCAGGUCAAGGUGCAGCUAAUGAGUGGGCUGAGAUGGGCUACAUUUUUUAACUUAAAAAACUACUACCAGCUACAUGAAACACUGAGCUACCAAGGUGGAUUUAGCAGUAAAUAUGUGCAAGACAUGCCACAUUGAAACUCGUUCUGAAGUGCGUACACACCGCC
rnacentral:rRNA from 1 species